UACGGAGGGUGCAAGCGUUAUCCGGAUUUACUGGGUUUAAAGGGUGCGUAGGCGGGUUGAUAAGUCAGGGGUGAAACCUCCGAGCUUAACUCGGAAACCGCCUUUGAUACUAUCAGUCUUGAAUUCAGUUGAGGUGGGCGGAAUGUGUCGUGUAGCGGUGAAAUGCUUAGAUAUGACACAGAACACCAAUUGCGAAGGCAGCUCGCUAAACUGACAUUGACGCUGAGGCACGAAAGCGUGGGGAGCAAACAGG
rnacentral:rRNA from 1 species